AGUGAACGCUGGCGGUAGGCCUAACACAUGCAAGUCGAACGGCAGCACAGUAAGAGCUUGCUCUUACGGGUGGCGAGUGGCGGACGGGUGAGGAAUACAUCGGAAUCUACUUUUUCGUGGGGGAUAACGUAGGGAAACUUACGCUAAUACCGCAUACGACCUACGGGUGAAAGCAGGGGAUCUUCGGACCUUGCGCGAUUGAAUGAGCCGAUGUCGGAUUAGCUAGUUGGCGGGGUAAAGGCCCACCAAGGCGACGAUCCGUAGCUGGGCUGAGAGGAUGAGGAGCAAGACUAGAAUGGAAACACGAUCCAGACUAGAACGGGAGGCAGCGGAGGGGGAGAGAAGAAAAGGGGAGGAGGGCAGAUCCGGACGAGCCGCGUGGAGGAAGAGAGCAAGGGGGUUGGGAAGCAAUUCUGUGGGGAAAGAAAAGAAGCAGAUUAAUACCCCGCUGAACUGACGGUACCCAAAGAGUAAGCAACGGCUAACUUCGUG
rnacentral:rRNA from 1 species